CCACUCCAAUAGUACGAUGGCACUUUGGUACUGUAGUUUGAUAGUAAAAAACUUAACCAGAGUUGCUCUAUUUAUUAGCUUAUUUUCAUUCUAUUGAUCAUUUUUCAUUGGUUUACAUGCUUCUUUAAAUGCAAAUGUAUGUUUGAAAUUGAGGAUCAGUUAUCAUGGAUGUUCAUGUGGGAAACACUCCUGCUGAUCUUCUUGAUGACUGGUCUCCAAGGUUCGAGGUGUUGACUAAAUCUCUGCUCCAAGUGGUGGGAAGGGUACUUGCAAAGGUAUUUGGAUUAGAUGCUUAAGUGAGUAUUCAGUACAGAGCAAUAAAGACUACAAUAUUAAAUAAUCAUACUUGUCUCAUCAAUGUUAUAUUUAUAGUGACGGGCCUAACGAGCCUUUUGGGAUAAUGGGCUAAUUACUGUGGAUUUUGUCUCCUAAUCAUAGCUGACGUGGAUCUUUAUUGUGAAUCUGUAAUUAGUCUUCUGUGUGCUAGGGUGAUUCGGUGUUUACUGUGGCCAAGUACCCAUUUGGGUUGCUCGUUGGCCGAAGAGGGGUACUCGGCUUCUUUGCUUUCCAAGUACUCAUUCGGGUUACACAUUGAUCGAAGGAGUGGUCGGCCUCUGGUCUUUGAGUACCUAUUGGGGUUGCUCCUUGGCCGAGGGGGUACCCGGCCUCUUUGAUUUCUGAAUACUUAUUAGAGUGACGGGGUUAUUUAUCCAUCCGGCCCCAUUAGGCCCGGAUAGUCUUGGUCAGGAUGAAGGCCGAAGGGUGUGUCCGGGUCCACUGGUACAAUGGACUUAAAUCCAUUAGAAAUUUUCUGCAAGUUCAGUUUCUCUCAUAACUUAAAAAUCAAGAUCAGAUCUUCACUUCAUCAUCAACUGAAUAUAUUGAUGGAUUUUGGCUCUUACUAGGGAAAUAGCACCACAGAACAAAAUUCAAGGCACUGACCAAAGAUUUAUUCACCUUUCCCUUGGAUUCUAAAUUGCAUAAAGCACUUGAACCUGUUAUUUAUAGACACACUGCCAAAUCUAUGAUCAAACAGAUCUAUGUUGUCAUACAACGUAAGAGAGCAUGAUGAUAUAUCUAUGUUAUUUAUCAGCUGUUGACUGGACCAAAUUAUAACACCUCGAGUGGUGCAAUGCUUGAUAUUGAUAUGUUCCACAUUAGCCUAUAGGCCCAGAUAAAAAGAGAUUGUCUCAUUCAAUAUCAAAGGUAAGGUUUGCUUUAAAACUUAAAUAAUCUGCUUGCAUUGGCAUAUUCUAAUAGCCUAUGAAGAUAGUUUUGAUCUUUCUUGACCCUCUAUAUACCAUGAUUUAUUUUGGGUGCUUAAUGUGAAUUUAGAACAGGUUAUUUAGAGAACUAACUGUAACGUAAGCGACGGUACACCAAAACAUCAACACAAACUGUUACAAAUUACAACAUAAAAUGAUUAAUCCUAGAUAGUGGUUUAAGGUUUCCCUAUUAAGGGGCCUAGCCUUUACACACGUGCCUGAUGGGGUGUUAUUUGAAAUUGAUCCAACAAACCAAGAUGAGCUUGAAAGAGCAAGACAAGAGAGAGAAAUUCAGGGCCUCUUCUAAGUUGAUGAGCAUGCAUGUCUACUCUACAUUGAGCACUAGCAUAGCUCAUAAUCUCGAUCCACAAUUCUUCAACAAAUUUCCAUCUAAAUUGUUUUGUUGUGGAGAAACUUUGAUGUGUUGGAAAAACUCCAUGGCUUCAACUAUUGUGUCAUUAAGAGUUAUCAUCCCUGCUCCUACUGGCAACAUGUGACGUUUCUUGACCAAGAGGUAAAACAUAUAAUCAGACAUCUCUUGUCAGUUCUUCUUUGUAUUUAAAUUAGACCUUGACCCUUCAUCAUACUAAUAAAACAAAUAUGUAGCAAUGUGCCAUGUGAUAAUUGUUCUAUGAAAUUCAAGUUCACUUG